rnacentral:lncRNA from 1 species
UGCUCAGGGUCACUCACCCAGGGUCAGAUUUGAACCUAUGACCUACUGCCUGUGGGCCUGGCUCCCUCACCACUGAGCCACCCAGCCGCCCCUCCCCUCCUGUUGAGUCAAAGGAAAAGUGAGGAGCUUUGAGAAGACUGGAUCAGGGCCAGAUGGCAAGGAGAACCCCCCAACAGCAAGGGAGCUGGACUAGCCUCUGAGGGCCCUUCCAGCUUGGAGUUUAUGAACCCACCAUACACCAUAGCUCCUGGUUGGUACUCUGGAGAGCUACAGAGCAAAGCCUAGAUGAGAGAAUGCUGAGAGGGAAUCGUGAAAAGAAAAGGACUGAUG